AAAAAAAAGCUCAAAUGAGUGAGAAGGACGAUGAAGGAAACAUCUGUGCUGUGUCUGCUCUAGUUUCUACCAGAGCCAAAUGUCAUCUACUCCUCACUGAAGUCGUCCACCAGUCCAACCACUGGAAUCCAGCUGCUGCUCUCUAACUGGUCCACACAGCAGCUCAGACCUGACACAUUCACUGUAAACACACUGGUUUA